AGGGAAGCACGUGUAACCGGGGCAGGGUUGCAUCAGGAGCUCGCUCGGGUUUUCUACUGCACCCUUGGUUUUUCGAUUGCAUGUAAUACUUCAGCAACAGUCCUCAGAAGCCCAGGAAGCCCGGGAGCAACGACGGGCAGGCUCAAGGAAAGGCCCCACCACGUCCUUUCGGGGGGUCUUGAAUGGCAACUGAUACAAAAUAAGACACAAUCUAUUCUGCUGAUUCACAAUUAUGGAGACUGUGUAACUGAAGACAGAAAACAGGCCUCAAGAGGAGCGCUCGAAGGAGGGAGGGAUUUGCCUGCAUUUGGCUCUGAGCAGGUCCCGGCAGACGCUUGGCGGUUUGUACGUUCGGAGGCUGGGGAGCCCCCUGGUUCAGAGGUCCACACAUGAAGUCACCCUGAAGAGAGUGGCUCCCGCUUUGUAAAGACCUCAUCGCCGCCAGGUGAGGCUAAGAUGAGCAUAACCAGUGACGAGGUGAACUUUCUGGUGUAUCGGUAUCUACAGGAGUCAGGUUUUUCCCACUCGGCCUUCACGUUCGGUAUCGAGAGCCACAUCAGCCAGUCCAACAUCAAUGGGACGCUAGUGCCGCCGGCUGCCCUCAUCUCCAUCCUGCAGAAGGGGCUGCAGUAUGUGGAGGCCGAGAUCAGCAUCAACGAGGACGGCACGGUGUUCGACGGCCGCCCCAUAGAGUCCCUGUCCCUGAUCGACGCGGUGAUGCCCGACGUGGUGCAGACGCGGCAGCAGGCCUUCCGGGAGAAGCUGGCACAGCAGCAGGCCAGCGCAGCGGCGGCGGCAGCGGCGGCAGCGGCAGCAGCCACGGCGGCACCGGCGGCCCCGGCAGCCGCGGCGGCUGUUUCCCAGCAGAAUCCACCAAAGAACGGCGAGGCCACGGUGAACGGCGAGGAGAACGGAGCGCACGCGAUAAAUAAUCAUUCAAAGCCAAUGGAAAUCGAUGGGGACGUGGAGAUUCCACCCAACAAAGCCACGGUCCUUCGGGGCCACGAGUCUGAGGUGUUCAUUUGUGCCUGGAACCCCGUCAGUGACCUCCUGGCUUCCGGAUCCGGAGAUUCCACCGCGAGGAUAUGGAACCUCAACGAAAACAGCAACGGGGGCUCCACCCAGCUAGUGUUGAGGCACUGCAUACGAGAGGGCGGCCACGACGUCCCCAGCAACAAAGACGUGACCUCGCUGGACUGGAACAGUGAUGGGACACUGUUGGCUACAGGUUCCUAUGACGGUUUUGCCAGGAUAUGGACGGAAGAUGGUAACCUGGCCAGCACCUUAGGCCAACAUAAAGGCCCCAUCUUUGCCUUGAAGUGGAACAAGAAGGGGAAUUACAUUUUGAGUGCUGGCGUCGACAAAACAACAAUAAUCUGGGAUGCCCACACCGGAGAGGCCAAACAGCAGUUUCCGUUUCAUUCUGCCCCCGCUCUCGACGUGGACUGGCAGAACAACACUACCUUUGCCUCCUGCAGCACGGACAUGUGUAUUCACGUCUGCAGGCUCGGCUGCGACCGCCCCGUCAAAACCUUCCAAGGACACACAAAUGAGGUCAAUGCCAUCAAGUGGGAUCCUUCUGGGAUGUUGCUAGCGUCCUGCUCCGAUGACAUGACAUUAAAGAUCUGGAGUAUGAAGCAGGAUACGUGUGUCCAUGACCUGCAAGCUCACAGCAAAGAGAUCUAUACCAUAAAGUGGAGUCCCACCGGGCCUGCCACCAGCAACCCAAACUCCAACAUCAUGCUGGCAAGCGCUUCGUUUGACUCUACGGUUCGGCUGUGGGACGUGGAGCGGGGCGUUUGCAUCCACACGCUCACCAAACACCAGGAACCCGUCUAUAGUGUAGCUUUUAGCCCUGAUGGCAAAUAUCUGGCCAGCGGCUCCUUUGACAAGUGUGUGCACAUCUGGAACACGCAGGUAAGCCCCCUGCCCCGCGGCUGCAGCCGGUCCUUUCCGCGAGGAGCCCCGCUCGGUCACGUUUGGGUGCCGCGGGCUCAGCACGGCACUGGGGAAGCCGUGCCUGGGGGCCACCUCGGCCCAACCCGGCUCCCUGGGUGGGUAGGCCACAGCUGGGCACCUGCUGCCUGUGGGUCUCCCUGCAAGGGACACCCGUCCACUCCUGUCCCUUCUUCUGAGCCCUUGGCAGGAAACUGUCCCAAUGCCGCCAACUCUUGGGCACAAGCAGUCAUGCUGGAAAAUCCUAACCCAGACACCUUCCCAGCCACUGUGCUCCCCCAUGGCUACCGAGGUCGGGGACCGAGGUCGGUCCUUGCCUUCGAACUUUGCAGGGGACCAGCCGUCUGAUGUGAGGCCAGCCAGCCCUGACCACCUGCGUGCCCCCCGGGCUCCUGGGGCUUCUCCGUGGAGCACGUUGCAGAGUAGUGGCCACGUUCGUUGGCUAUUGUCAGGGCAUUUUGAUUUCUUUCUUUCUUUUUUUUUUUUUUUUUUUUUUUUGGUCUUUUUAGGGCCACACCCUCGGCACAUGGAGGUUUCCAGGUUAAGGGCUAAAUCGGCACUACAGCCGCCAGCCUACACCACAGCUCAUGGCAACGCCAGAUCCUUAACCCACUGAGCGAGGCCAGGGAUCAAACCCGCAACCUCAUGGUUCCUAGUCAGUUUCUUAACCUGCUGAGCCGUGACGGGAACUCCCAGCAUUUUGAUUUUUUGAAGGGAAGUGUUUUUGGUUCGGGUAGCAGAGGGAAUGUCAGUAUCAGGUUAUCCUGUCAGAGAAGCGAAAGGAGAUGGUGUUUGUGUGCAGGUGGUCCUGUGGUGUCUCUGGCCACACCUGAGGAUGAGACAGUUCCAAAUAUGCCGAGUAGGCGGGCACAGGAGCGAGUGGCGGGUAUAACUGUCACGUGGGGCGGUCAGCUCUAUGCUCUCCUGUAAGAGCAGCGUGGGCCUGGAAUUCCCUGCAGGCGGCUGGGGGCCCCUCGUGUGUGACCUCAGGAUGGGUGAAGAGGCCUCCCCUCUCCUGUGUUUAAUUUUUUUUUGCCACACCUGUGGCAAGAGGAAGUUCCCAGGCCAGGGAUCGAAUGCAUGCCUCAACAGCAACCCCCACCACAGCAGCGACCAUGGAGCCACCAAGGAACUCCUUUUUUAAUUUUUUUUCUCCUCUUUUUUUUUUUUUUUUUUUUCCCCUUUUUCUUUUUUGGCCACUCUGUGGCAUAUGGAGUUCCCAGGUUAGGGUUCAGAACUGAGCCACAACAUGGGGUCCUUAACCCACUGUGCCCGGCCUGGGGUCGAACCUGCGUCCCAGUGCUCCAGGGAUGCUGCCAGUCCCGCUGAGCUAUAGUAGGAAGUCCCUGUUUUGUUUUUUCUUUUUCUAACCACACUUGAAGCAUGUGCAAGUUCCAGGGCCAGGGAUCAAACCCCUCACUACAGCAGUUACAAUGCCAGAUCCUUAACCAGCUACACCACAAGGGAACUCCUUUUUUAAAUGUUCACUCUUUUCUUCUCUCCUUUUUUUUUUUUUUUUUGGUCUUUUUGUAUUUUCCUCUUUUCUAGGGCUGCACCCGUGGCAUAUGGAGGUUCCCAAGCCAGGGGUCUAAUUGGAGCUGUAGCUGCUGGCCUACACCACAGGCACAGCCUCUUGGGAUCUGAGCCGCAUCUGUGACCUACACCAUAGCUCAUGGCAAUGCCGGAUCCUUAACCCACCGAGCGAGGCCAGGGAUCGAACCUGAAACGUCAUGGUUCCCAGUCAGAUUCGUUAACCACUGUGCCACGACAGGCACUCCGUCUUCUCCUAUUUUAAUUCCACCCACGUUCAUGAUUCUCUCUGGCCUGGUUGACACCUAGCUGACCUUGCUUCUCCCUUGUGCCGGGGGUGGGGGUUGUACAUGAGCCGCCUUCACCUUAACUGACCUGGCACCAAGGCCCACUGAGACCUCGGGCUCCCUGGAAACCUCCUGCCAUGAACCGUGUCUUCUCAGCGAGCACGAGGCCGUCAGUAGAGGCCCUCAGGUGGAACCGAGCCGAGCCUCACAACCUAGGCAGGAGCCCCAGAAAGCGCACAGCCCGGGUUAACGUGCAGGUGUCUAUCUCCACGGCGCGCCUGCGGGAGGGAGUGAUGGAUGGACGCAUAAAUGACAUCAUCGGUUAGGUGCUGCCUGCCGUGCUGGCGGCAGCUCAUCAAGGCACUGUCCCCCUUCAGAACUCUUUGGGACAUCUUGAUGGAUGCCUUCUCUCAACAUAAAAACACCCACCAUGUGCUGGGCCUGCCUCAGUCUCCCCACCGCCCUCCCCAGGCUGGCCGUGACCCUGGGAGGUGUGACCUGGGCUGAAACGUGCAGGCCCGUUCCCUGCGCAGGUCCACGGUGGUAAGUCUGGGAGACAGGUUUCUACAGCCACCAGGGCGCUUACGGAAAACGCCGCGAGCUUCUGUUUUGAAAACGUCUGUGAUGACGUGCCGGGGACCACGUUGGUGUCCUGCGCGCCCCGUUUCAUGGUGAAUGAUGACGGCUUUGCUUUGCAGAGUGGAAGUCUGGUCCACAGCUACCGCGGCACUGGCGGCAUCUUCGAGGUGUGCUGGAACGCCCGAGGGGACAAAGUGGGCGCCAGCGCGUCCGACGGCUCUGUGUGCGUUUUAGAUCUGCGGAAGUAAACGUGAAAUACCCUAGAAACGAGAAGAGCAUUCGCAUGGACCAGCAGUGAACCUGUGGGGUUGUAGUAACUCUUCAAACACAAUUCCAUCAGCUCCAAACUGUUCGAACUUGACGUUAAAGUAUACUCUGAAAUCAGCUCAUCCCUGGCCACAGGAGUCUAUUUUUUCCUAAUCUUCAUCAAGAAGUUUAAAACAAAAGCAUACACACACCGUCACAUCAAAGAGGGAAAGAACGGUUUCCACCUGGAACAUUCAGCCCGGGAAGCAUGAAGCCACCAGCCAGACAGCGCACCAGCCAUCCAGCACAGGCUCUGAUGGCUAAGAGGAGAGAAACAAAACAAAACAAACAGCAAGCUGUGCCAAAAAGAAAAAAAGAAAAAUGCUGUGAUAAAACCAAAAGGGGGGGAAAGACACUCAUCCACGUGGUGGGUAUUUUUUUUUUUUUUCCAAGAAUUUGGACACUACAGUUACUCUCACAAGGAUGUUCAAAGACCAGUUUGUACCGAUGAAAUGGGCGACUUUGUAAUCCCAACACUUUCUAUUUUCUAGAAUCUUUGUCCCGUGGUUUUUCUACCGGCUGCAGUCCUGUCGUCUGGGGCCCUGGGGUCUGAGGUAGUAACUGUUUGGGGUUCGUUGCUUCUUUUCCUGCUGUAGCCUCUUUCCUUCCUUCGUGUCUUGAUUGGCAGCUCCCCUUCCCUAGAGGCAGCCUCUCGGAAGAUGCCGGGAUCUCUGAGGCCCAGCGCCCCCCCCCCCAUAGCUGCUUCCCACCUUAGGUCUCAAGGGCACUUUCGUGGCAGAUUUAAUAAGUGCUUUAUGUAAGAAGGCAGGGCAGGGGGACUUUUUACAGGAGAAAAAAAUAAUAAUAAGUGACUUAUAAGAGAAAGAGCCCGGAGUAUUUUUGGAAGAAAAAAAAUAUUUUUGUGUUAAAACAAUUUUAAAAUCCUAAAAUGGCCAUCAGACAUAGAGAGCUUUGUGUGAUUCAUAUUUUGAAAAAACGUUAAGACACAGGCAGGGUCGAAAUCGCUUUUCCUGAACUUCGGGAAGGGCGGCCAGGACUCCGGGUGGAAGAGGGCCGGCGGUGCGGCCCACAGCCAGGGAGGGACCCCCGCUUCUCCGGCUCAGAGGCGGCCUGGGCGUCUCUUGGGGUGUGUGGACGGCGGUGGCGGCAGGAGCGGAACGCCAAGGGUGCCCGCGGCCCCGAGCACCAUUCCCCGAAGGAGCGGCGGGGCCGUCGGGCCACUCCUGGCAGGGCUGUCUGCCCGGAGCACCGCGGCGGGGCCUGGCAGAGCUGGCAGGAGUGGCUGGGGACCGCACCGGGCCUGACAGCGACAGAAAGGCACGGGGAGAGAUGUUCCAGCUCGAAGGUGGAUUCCAUACGUAGAGCAUCGCUAAUCAUUUCUGCCGUGUUCAUAGUUUUUCUCUAGCAAGGAGAAAGAUUUGCUUUAAAAAAAAAUGAAUCUUUUUACUGUUUUUUAUGAAAUUAAACAUGGCUUUGUGUUCCUGGAGGAGUUUCUUUGGAUCAGAUGGCCUUUGUCUUUGUCCUCACCCGACGCUGACCAGGUUUUCAGGUGGGGGGGUGGGCAGGCCAGGCCCCUGGGCUCGCCCGGGGUGGAGAAGGGGCCACGGGGCUGGCGAUGGGCAGGCUGCAGCCGGGCAUGCGCCCAGUGGCGCCACAGGACGGUCCGCGACGGCGGCGUCCACCCGUGGAGCACAGAGCCGCAGGGCAGGGCAGGGCCGGGCAGGACUCGGAGAACUCGCAGAGGUUGGAUCGCGCCAGACCAGCUCCGAAAGCCGGCGCCGUCAUCGGUCUCGGCUCAGGAAUGGGGCUCCGUGGACCUGCGCGCCAUUCGAGCCCAGUCGGUUGAGACCAAAAAGCGCUCGGCGGACAGACGAGUGGAGUGUUUGCUUCGGGCUGUUCGUGAAACGCUUAGCGAGAAGGUCGGAGCUGCGUGGCGUCUCCGCCCCCAGCUUUGAAGAUCGCAGAAGCCCCGGAUGCAUCGCUGGCUUCCUGCCCUCUAAAGGGACGAGCCCUGGGAGGCAGUGUGCAGCGCCGCCACCAUCACCAAGUGGACCUCUCGCCAAAUGAAGAUGGGUCGCAUCCGCAGAGCGUGAGCUGGCCAGGCUGACACCGCUUGUGUGUGACCAGCUGCUGGCGGGAGCCGACGAGGGACGCAGUCCAAGGGGUUCGCCAGAGACCCUCGCGGGAAGCUUGGGGAGCCAGGGUCUGCAGGUGCGCCGGCUUUAGCCUCCUGAUGAACCGGAGCCACUUGGGAACCGGCGGGUGGGGGCCGGGGCUGUGAGGCCAAGGACGCGUGGGCUCCAUCCCGGCACGAAUGCUGAGGAAAGCCAACCGACCGCGUGACCGGCCCAGGAAGAAGCCUCCUGGGGGCCGCGGGGGAUGAGGAUGAGAAGGCAGCCGGCGUCCCUUGAACCCGUCCCCGCUCUGCGCACAACGACAGCCCAGCCGUGAGCCGAGCGGCGUGCAGGCGGCAGCUGCGUCACUGUCCCCAGCGGCGCCCCGAGGCACCGUUAGUCCUGGAUGUCGUCUACAGCUCUUACAAGUCGGGAGGAAACACUUAAGUCUCAGUGACCAAAUGAACCUCGGUUCUGAACGCAGAGGUAACACCAGGAUCCUCCCCGGAGUUUUCAGUUGGCUUCGGAGUGACAAGCGCUCGUCCUGCACGCGUGGGAAACGAUAACGCCCCCGCCCCCCGGACGUCGGCCCCGCGCGCGACGCACGGAGACCUUGACCUUGGUUUUGUCUUUCUCGAAAUAGAUCUUGGAGCCAAGUAAAGUGCACUUUGUCAAACUUAAGGGUCUGCUUUGUUCCUCGUAAUUUUUCUCUUUUUUUAACCUCUCCUUCCACCUUUUCUUUUUAUUCAGUCGUGUUUCUUGUCAAAUGCAGAAUUGUUCCUUCCGCCGCUCUCACCGACGUUUUGAAUUCUGGCUUCUGCGGUUUUUAUUGUCUGUGUCAGACGUACAGCCAGAUGUGCUCCUCUGUCCGCAUCUUCCAGAUUCCGUUCCAUCCCCACCGGCCCCGCUCUGUUCUCCCUCCACUCCCCUCACCCUCACGCUCUCCAAGAAAAAGAAUCACCUCGUGUGUCGUAGUUCAUUUGUUUCAAGAGAGAAUCAACAGACCAUAUUCAGUGUCUUGAAUAAAUUGCUCUAUUUUGAUAGAGAA